GGCUAGGUAGCUCAGUUGGUAGAGCACCUGGUAUAUAUAUAUAUCCAGAAGGCCUGGGUUCAAACCCCAGUCUGGUCA